rnacentral:piRNA from 1 species
UGUGUAGGUUCAGGAAUUUUCCUGGUGCUA